rnacentral:rRNA from 1 species
ACGGGUGCGUAACGCGUGGGAAUCUGCCCUUAGGUUCGGAAUAACAGCUGGAAACGGCUGCUGAUACCGGGUGAUAUCGCGAGAUCAAAGAUUUAUCGCCUGAGGAUGAGCCCGCGUUGGAUUAGGUAGUUGGUGGGGUAAAGGCCUACCAAGCCGACGAUCCAUAGCUGGUCUGAGAGGAUGAUCAGCCACACUGGGACUGAGACACGGCCCAGACUCCUACGGGAGGCAGCAGUGGGGAAUAUUGGACAAUGGGCGCAAGCCUGAUCCAGCAAUGCCGCGUGAGUGAUGAAGGCCCUAGGGUUGUAAAGCUCUUUUACCCGGGAAGAUAAUGACUGUACCGGGAGAAUAAGCCCCGGCUAACUCCGUGCCAGCAGCCGCGGUAAUACGGAGGGGGCUAGCGUUGUUCGGAAUUACUGGGCGUAAAGCGCACGUAGGCGGCUUUGUAAGUCAGAGGUGAAAGCCUGGAGCUCAACUCCAGAACUGCCUUUGAGACUGCAUCGCUUGAAUCCAGGAGAGGUCAGUGGAAUUCCGAGUGUAGAGGUGAAAUUCGUAGA